rnacentral:rRNA from 1 species
UUUCUAUAAAAGUGACAAAUAGCAAUAUUUUCAAGAAACAACUUUUUAAAUUCUAAUUUAAUAGAAGUCAAGUUAUGGUCUGAGAGAUAACUUAAAAAUGGUAAGUUAUUUAGGAACAAGAUAAAAGGCAAAACACCAAACUUCAUACAAACUUAAAUGUUUGACAUUUAAAAAUUAAAGAGAUUUUUUUUUAACGUGUAUUUGAGACAAAUAAGCCAACCUUGGUACAUAACCGCUGAAAACUAAAAAACCGUACCCUAAACCAACACAGGUGGAUAGGUCGAGUAGACUAAGGUGUAUGAGAUAAUUAUGUUGAAGGAACUCGGCAAAAUGACUCUGUAACUUCGGGAGAAAGAGUACCUUUUUAUUUAAGUGUUUAUCGACGAAAUAAUAAGAA